UGAGACUUCUCCUCUGUUAGGUCAUCAGUGUAGGAGACUUGAGGAGUUAAAGAAUAUUUUUGCCAGGAUUCUAUCAUCAGAGAUUCUGAUUUGAUUAGCUGGGGCUGUGGCCUAGAUACUAGAAUUUUUCAAAAUGACAGAUGAUUCUAAUGUGCAGCAAAGUUUAAGAAGCACCAUAAAGACAGUUUUUCAUGUUUCCCUUCUGUUUCAACUGUCGCUUUUUUAUAUUCUUGGGUUCUCUUCUAUAAAUCACUUUGCCUCAAUACUGACUCUUUGGCCUGUCUGGGCAUGCCCAGUCAUUCCUUCCCUUAUGCACACCCACAAUUUAGUACUUGGUUCUAGCCAUAUAGCAUUGACAAGCCCAGAUAUUUGUAGGAUGUCUAUGGACAGUGACACUCAGAAAAGGGAUAAUAAGUCUCUGUGUCUCCUGUCCCUGCACCCAGUGGUACUCAGCUGGGGAGGUGUAGGAUGGCAGCAUCUGUCAGGAGAGAAAGAGGAAUUGGAAAUUUGGGAUGAGGUGGAGCACUUUUGGCCCUCAUGCAGGAUGCUGGACAGAAAUCUGCUGAGAGUGAUAUGA
rnacentral:lncRNA from 1 species